UACAGAGGAUGCAAGCGUUAUCCGGAAUGAUUGGGCGUAAAGCGUCUGUAGGUGGCUUUUUAAGUCCGCCGUCAAAUCCCAGGGCUCAACUCUGGACAGGCGGUGGAAACUACCAAGCUGGAGUACGGUAGGGGCAGAGGGAAUUUCCGGUGGAGCGGUGAAAUGCGUAGAUAUUGGGAGGAACACCAGUGGCGAAGGCGGCUCACUGGACCGGUUCUGACGCUGAGGCGCGAAAGCGUGGGGAGCAAACGGG
rnacentral:rRNA from 1 species